rnacentral:rRNA from 1 species
CGGCGAGUGAGCGGGAUGAGCUCAAAUUUAAAAUCUGGCUGCCUCAGGUGGUCCGAGUUGUAGUCUCGAGAAGUGUUUUCCGCGUUGGCCUGUGUACAAGUCCUUUGGAAUAAGGCGUCAUAGAGGGUGAGAAUCCCGUCCUUGACACAGAUCCCCAAUGCUUUGUGAUGCGCUCUCAAAGAGUCGAGUUGUUUGGGAAUGCAGCUCAAAAUGGGUGGUAAAUUCCAUCUAAAGCUAAAUAUUGGCGAGAGACCGAUAGCGAACAAGUACCGUGAGGGAAAGAUGAAAAGCACUUUGGAAAGAGAGUUAAACAGUACGUGAAAUUGUUGAAAGGGAAACGAUUGAAGUCAGUCAUGCUCGUAGGGAUUCAGCCGGUUCUGCCGGUGUAUUUCCCUACUUGCAGGCCAGCAUCAGUUUUGACCGGUGGAAAAGGUUGGAGGGAAUGUGGCAUCCUCGGAUGUGUUAUAGCCCUCUUUCGCAUACAUCGG